AUUGAACGCUGGCGGUAUGCCUUACACAUGCAAGUCGAACGGUAGAGGGGCAACCCUUGAGAGUGGCGAACGGGUGAGUAAUACAUCGGAACGUGCCCAGCCGUGGGGGAUAACGUAGCGAAAGCUACGCUAAUACCGCAUACGACCCGAGGGUGAAAGCGGGGGACUCGCAAGAGCCUCGCGCGAUUGGAGCGGCCGAUGGCAGACUAGGUAGUUGGUGGGGUAAAGGCCCACCAAGCCUGCGAUCUGUAGCUGGUCUGAGAGGACGACCAGCCACACUGGGACUCAGACACGGCCCAGACUCCUACGGGAGGCAGCAGUGGGGAAUUUUUGACAAUGGGCGAAAGCCUGAUCCAGCCAUACCGCGUGCGGGAAGAAGGCCUUCGGGUUGUAAACCGCUUUUGUCAGGGAAGAAAUCUUCUGGGCUAAUACCUCGGGAGGAUGACGGUACCUGAAGAAUAAGCACCGGCUAACUACGUGCCAGCCGCCGCGGUAAUAC
rnacentral:rRNA from 1 species